GAUGAACGCUGGCGGCGUGCCUAAUACAUGCAAGUCGAGCGAACAGACGAGGAGCUUGCUCCUCUGACGUUAGCGGCGGACGGGUGAGUAACACGUGGAUAACCUACCUAUAAGACUGGGAUAACUUCGGGAAACCGGAGCUAAUACCGGAUAAUAUAUUGAACCGCAUGGUUCAAUAGUGAAAGACGGUUUUGCUGUCACUUAUAGAUGGAUCCGCGCCGCAUUGGCUAGUUGGUAAGGUAACAGCUUACCAAGGCAACGAUGCGUAGCCGACCUGAGAGGGUGAUCGGCCACACUGGAACUUAGACACGGUCCAGACUCCUAAGGGGGGGAGCAGUAGGGAAUCUUCCGCAAUGGGCGAAAGCCUGAAGGAGCAACCCCGCGUGGGUUAAGAAGGUCUUCGGAUCGUAAAACUCUUUUAUUAGGGAAGAACAAAUGUGUAAGUAACUAUGCACGUCUUGAAGGUACCUAAUCAGAAAGCCAAGGCUAACUACGGG
rnacentral:rRNA from 1 species